rnacentral:tRNA from 1 species
AGGGGGUUAGUUUAAUUAAAACCACUAAUUUCGACUUAGUAAACUCUGAUCUCCAGAACCCCUAA